UCCCAGAGGUAAUCUGAAAGGCAGGUGCAGGUGAAGACAGCACCCGGGAAGACAGCCCUCCCGUGCCCGCGCCGAAGCGGACAAUCUGGCGAGGGCCGACAGUUUGCAUGCAAAUAGAAUCCUCGGCCGCAGUUCUGAGGACAUAGUGACCCCAAAAGUCCCUGGAGCGCCCCGAAUGCUGACGUCGCCCCGCCUCUCCUCCUAAGCAGUAAAUCAGGAAGGCCGCGGGGGAAGAGCGGGCCUUAACUCCUGCCCAGUCCUCCUUCCAUCAUCUGGUGUGAAAUCCCCUGCGGUCUAGGUGGUUCCUUUUUCUCCCCUGGUCUUCAGGCCAGAAUGAAGCCAGACUGGAAAAUCUUGGAGGACUCCUUGCUUGACAUAAAGACCUUGUGUUCCAGACGGUGUCCAGGAAGAAAGGGUUGGACAACUGGCUUUGGACUUGAUUGAGAUGGAUCGCACUUCAUCUGUAAUGCCGGUUAACCAUAGGUCAUCCUGCCCAUGCAAUCCAACAAGUACUUUGGAUUAAGAUAAAGCUUAUUCACACAUGAUGGAAGAGGUUCCUCAAAUCUCCUGGAGAUGGAUGCAGAGUUUCUCGGAGCAACCAGGAGGACCUUGUGUGAAGCACGAGGUGGCAUGUGGGGCUCGCUGCAAAUAUGAAGCCCUCGAAGAGACUCCAUGCCCAUGCUGAAUCAGGUGGGGAGAAGAAGGGACCCAAGGAGGAAGAAGAGAAGCAAGAAAGAGGAAGGCUGUGUAGCAGAGUUUAUAGCUGACAGGAGUGCCUGUUAUCUGGCCCUUGCAGCCUGACCCCUCUCCUCGGCCACCCUGGCCACGUUCUUUGCUGUGGUCAGGUAGCCUUGACCUUCCUGGCCAGCAGCCUUCCAAAGGACGUCCAGGACCAGGCUGUUUACUCCCAAGCCCAUUCGGAAGAUCUGUGGGAACGGAAGGCUCCAUGAUGCCGUAGGCCCCGCCCUCCGUGUGAGUGGGCAGCUCCCUGGCUGCACACAGUGUUUGCGGGUGCCGUGGCCCUUUCCAGAGGCUCAGGUCAAGCAUUGGAUAUUCUCGGAGCCCUGGGGGCUCAGAUGAGAAUCUCUGAUGGGACUGGAGUGCAUAAAUCUUCUCCCAUAGGAAAAGAACUUUGCCCUUUGUGAUUGAAGAAAGCCUGCUUAAGCUGACUAAUGACUAGGAUUACCAAAUUCCAUUGGCAAAUUUUCCAAGUUACCUGAGCAAGAAAAAAACAGUGAUUACAGAAGCCAAGGGCCAGCAUCGUCAAGUGCACGUUGGUCAUUUACUUGGACAGGCACAAUCCCGUCCUUCUUAUUUCUGGUUAAACUCCCAUGGCUCUGUAACCAGAUACCUCCAGGCUGGGAGGAUGGGCUGAGCGGGAAGGGAAGGGCUGUGGGGUUGAUCUACAUGGUCAGAUUUCUGGUUCAGAGAAUUACCAAGAUUUGAUGUGAAAGAGCCCCUUUCCUUUUCGUUUACUCUUACCACAUCCUCAUUUCUUUUUUAAUCCUUGUAUCUCUUUGUGUUUUUACAUCCAGAUUCACAAAGUGGCUAAUCUUAGGGCUACAUGAGAUCGGAAAAUGCCCUGUCUCCUAUUGUACCAUUGUUCUGCUUUCAUCAAGAGCAAAGGAACAGAGGGGUGCCUGGGUGGCUCAGUUGGUUAAGUGUCUGCCUUUGGCUCAGGUUGUGAUCUCAGGGUCCUGGGAUGGGGUCCCACAUCGAGCUCCCUGCUUGGCGAGAAGCCUGCUUCUCCCUCUCCUUCUGCCUGCCACUUCCCCUGCUUGUGUGCUCUCUCUCUCUCUCUCUCUCUCUCUCUCUGUCAAAUAAAUAAAAUCUUAAAAAAAAAAAAAAGGAGCAAGGAAGCAGCGCACAAACAGUAGCUUUCUAAUAGCCCAUUGGGAAGAUCUACAGUAUUUAUUCUACUGAUUUUCCUAUUGCUCAAAAUAUAUUGGAACUCCUUUUAAACAUUUUGUGAACUUAGGGCAGUUUGUGAGGUGCAAAAAAGCAAAAGUACCAAAGUCAAUAGACUUCCCAUGGAAUAUUUGUGCAAGCACCAAGCCAAAUCGUCAGCAUAGACAAGGCACAGAAAGGAUGCAGUAUUGAAAUUCCCACAUGGUAGCCUCUGUCGACAUCUCACCGGCCAGUGAAUUUUGCUCCAGCUGACCCUUAUUAAUGAAAAAUUGGAUCUGUUUCGGGCUGAAUUGCUAGCAUCCCAGGGAUCACUCAGUUCGUCUCUCUCUCUCUCUCCCUCUCUCUCUCUCUCUCUCUCUCUCUCUCUCUCUCUCUCAUUAAACAAAGAAACAGUAACUUCAGAGACUCCCAUUUGCCAGCAUAUCUUUGUCAGCUGGGAUCCUUGGGGAGGUGGAUGCCAAGACAGAAUUAGACAUGUAAAAGCUUUAAUGGGGGUAAUGUCUGUGCAGGAGAUAGAGGGGAACGAGUAGGAGUAGGUGGGGGGAGUCUCUGACCCGAGCCCAGGUCUGACACCUGAAAGCCACUAUUGCUACAGCCGGUCGUGGGGCCACAUGGGUGCCCACUCUGCCCUGCACCCCCACCCCCACAGUAUCCAGUCUAAAUGGCCUGCCUGGUAGUGUGACCCAGAUCUUGUCCUGAGGGCUCUGAGUCCUUUAUAAUCAUACCCAUCUUGGGCCAGGCUGGCAGCAUCUACAGUCACACCGUGCCAUCAUGAGGGGGAGCCACAUGGACCCUUGGCGUCAACAUGUCUUCCAACCCCAUGCCUUCUAUGAAAGCACGCUACCUCCAACUGCUGAUCUUGGUCAACUCACCCCACCAAGAGAGUGACUUCCUUACACACUGGGCCCUGGCCACGAGGAGCCAAAAGCAUCCGGGUGACAGCUGCAGCCUGCCGUUCAAUAGGACCCUGGCUGUGUCCCCUGGCAAGACAGUGUCCCCUUUUGGGACCAGAUUUUAGCUCUACAGAGUCCGGAGUUGCAGGGACAGGAAGCAAAGAGUCUGCCAGCAGGUCAUUGGAGUGACUCCAUGGUUCAUGCGCAUCCAUGUGUUCUUCCCACGGGAGACACGGUGCCACAAAGAGCUCUCCGACUUAAAGCACACACUGCUCCUGCAAGGUAUUCCUUCCAUCCCUGCACAGCAUCACCUCCGAGCUUCAGGGACUUCUUCAGUGCACUCUCCUGGCUCUCUGCAAGCCUGGCUGCUUCUGGAUGGUGUGACAUGUGAUGGGCCGGUGCCUCCUACAGUCACACCCUCCCACCCUGCAGCUUCUUAGCUGUAAAGUGAGCCAGCCCUCUGUUGGGUGCUGUGUCAUGUGGAAUCCAUUCCUGGCCAGGUGUCCCAUAACCCCCAGACAGUGGUGAUAGCUGAGCAUAGUUCUCUGUGGGCAGGAAGGACAGAUCCACACUUGGAAUAGGUAUCUGUCCUUGUAGGAUCAACCGCUGUCCCUUCCGAGAUGUAAGGGAACCCAGGCAUAUGGUCCCCUCAAAGAAUAGCACCAACUGGAAUUAUUGUUGCUGACUGGUUGGAAAUUCAGAGAGAGUCCAUGCUGUCAGGCCCAUGCAUAGCCUCCUUCUCUGCCGCUCAGGCUGCUCCAUCCACAUACCCAACGUGCCAGUCCCAGGGUGGCUGGUGACCAAGGCCAGCUGCCAUCAACCAGUGAGUCAUUUUGCACAUUUGGCUGUUUAGUGCCUCUUGCAUGGCAGACUCUCUGGUGGGCACUAAUGUGUGAUUCAAACAUCUUUACACCUUGUGCCCACUCCCAUCUGUCCAUCCACGUGCCUCUAUCCAGAGCUUUCUGUCCCUGACCCUCCAGUCCUUUUCCUUCCAGACCGUUAGCCAGCUAGCUGGGCCACUGGCCACAGCCCAGGCACCUUGGUCUAGUUCUCCUUCCACACACGUGGAUGAGUAGCUGUGCUGCUCACAGCCCUGCCCUCUGGGAAAAGCUGUCUCCUGUGUCAUUCAGGGUUGUUCCAGAACAUGACUGUAAUGCCGUGGCUAAACAUUUUC